CCUAGCUCAGAUAUCAGGAGACCCCAAAAUGUCAGAAAUUCAAAAGAGAGUGGUCAUGGGAACUGCCCAUAUCUUACGGUAAAUACUGCUUAUGUAAUCUCAAAUUUUAAAACUAACUCAUAAUUUUGUUAAGGUAUUUUCAAG